UCUACGGGAGGCAGCAGUGGGGAAUAUUGCGCAAUGGGCGAAAGCCUGACGCAGCGACGCCGCGUGAGGGAUGAAGGUCUUCGGAUCGUAAACCUCAGUCAGCAGGGAAGAACGGUCACUGUGCUAAUCAGCAGUGAAUUGACGGUACCUGCAAAGGAAGCACCGGCUAACUCCGUGCCAGCAGCCGCGGUAAUACGGAGGGUGCGAGCGUUAAUCGGAAUUACUGGGCGUAAAGCGCUCGUAGGCGGUAUGUCAAGUCAAGGGUGAAAUCCCCGCGCUCAACGUGGGAACUGCCUUUGAAACUGGCAAACUGGAGUGUGUGAGAGGAUAGUGGAAUUCCAGGUGUAGGAGUGAAAUCCGUAGAUAUCUGGAGGAACAUCAGUGGCGAAGGCGACGAUCUGGCACAUAACUGACGCUGAGGAGCGAAAGCGUGGGUAGCAAACAGGAUUAGAUACCCCUGUAGU
rnacentral:rRNA from 1 species